rnacentral:lncRNA from 1 species
CUGGUUUUGGGGAUAGACGGAGACAGAGGAAGCUGAAUACGGACGGAGGCGGCCCCGGAGUCGGGCACAGAGGCGACGAACUCAACGGUGAAGCCCGCGGUAAGGAAACUCACUGAAUCAGAUUCCGAUUACGUAAAAUCUCGAGACCCCUUCCGAACCUGCCAACACGGGUCGGGCUUCUUACAGUCCGAACCCAUCAAAUAAUGCGUCCGCUAGGAGACUUUUCUCCCUUCCCUGAGGACUUCCGAACCUGCUCCACAGAGUUCUUGCCCUUGUUCAUGCGAAGGUUGACCCGAGCCUGGGCCUGACCACUUGUCAAUCUAGAGAACCCAGAUAAGGGUAAGGGUGUUUUCUCCCUUUUCUUGCUUCCCAGUCGACGACUUUCGGUUCUUGGGCGAUUUAACCAGAGCCCGGUCACCGUUUCUACCAACGGUGGAUUCCUCGGAAAUAAAUGACCAGAUAUUCGACGGUCUCAUCUCUCAGCAUGUCUACCGUCUUCAAAAAAAUCUUGGGUCCCCUCGCAACAUGCCUCUGGAUCUCUUGGACCAGCUCCAUGCUCCCCGCGGGGACAGCCGUGGGAAGAUUCCUCAUUCUUCUCCCAAUUUUAUUAGUCCAACCUCGAGUUCAUCUUCCAUGAAUCACACGACAAGAAUUUGGUCAUUACAUCAUCCUUUGACUUUUGUUCAUUGCUGAAUAAAUAUUGCAUGAUAUAAUAGGUUUGACUCGAUUUUGGGUGUUGAGUAGGGUAGCCUAGAAACGAAGUGCGGUCUAAAAAUCUGGUGCAGCACCUGAUCCCCACCAAGCUUUGACUCCAACCUGCUGGUCUGGAAGACGAGCAAUUCAACAAAGUUUAAACCAGCAGGUAGGAAUUAUGUGCGGAGGAGUCGAUCAAAAUCACAACAUUUCAUCAAAUAUGAAACGCCCUGCAAAUUCAUAUCUAAGCUGCCAGUCUGAAGACAAGCAGUUUUCAGAAUUGUGCAAUUUCCAAUGCUCCACAUGUAUGAUUCUUUGCUCGUGAAUCACUGUUCUUGCCAUCCUUCUGUCAAGUGCUCGUCAUCUCCUAAAGGCUGGCCUAUUAAAUUGAUGGAGAGGGCCUGUUGAUACUGACAACACCAAAAAGAAGAAGCAGAGAGGGAAGAUUGCAGUAAUCAUGCUAUUUCCAUUAAUAUAUUCAUGGAAUGCGGAUGGGAGAAUUGCUGGUCGCUGAGCUCCAAGGUCAACACUGAGAUUUAUUUACUGAGUCACCUACAGCAGAAAAUAAUUCCUCCAGAAUUAUCUCCACACAGGGUCUGUUGACUACUUAGUUGUUUCACAGAACAAAGUUAAAGAUGAUCUUCUCAGGUGUUGCUGAGGCAGCUCGUCAGCUAUGGGGAGUGUUUCUUGAGGAAGCCGAGAAGUAACUGUUGGAUUUAAUUUAAUUUGGACAAAUUCUAUAUAAUUUGUGCAUCAUUAAAGGUUAUCAUUUAAAUAAUCAUAAUUAAGUGAUUUACUUAAGUUUAAACCUUAAGAUUAAGACAUCUUACAUAUGGGCAUCUAUAUAAUUAUGUGUAGAGACCGAGUCUAAUUCUAAUUUUAUAAUAGACAAAAUUAGAAAAGACACCUCUUGUCUAUAAAUAGGGGUCACACUCCUUAGGUCACACAAGGACGUGAGUUAUUCUCUAAAACAUCCCAUCUUUUUUGAAGUGCAUACAACUCACUUGUGUAGACCCAAAAGGACAUCCUUCUUUCUCAUCCACAUUCAGCAAUGAAUUAUGGUAUGGCCCUUUAUAUUUAUUUAUCUCAUACAUUUCACUGAUGGAUAUAGAUCAUAUAUUCUGAGUUCUAACAGGAACUGCUCUUGGACGAAGUGGGUCCCCUCUGGCAUGAAUUUGAUGUCCAAGUCGGGGACAAAGUUCUUCACCGUCCCACUCCUUACGUACUCCUCCAUCCCGG